CCACGGCGCCGCCGCCGACACCUCCGCCGGGCGCGCCCGCGGGUGGGCGGGGGAAAAAUAGUCCCCGCGCUCCAGCGAGCACCGGGAGCGGCGGGGAAACGGCGGAGAGCGCGUGCGGCGGAGGGGAAGGAGCAAAAAAACAUCACGGAGCUACGUCACUGUUACUACUGAAUUAAACCCCAACUAAGGCCACUGGAAGGGGGUGCUGGAAAAGAAAAGUGGCAUAAAUUUACAGUUUUCAAAUAUCCAAGAACUUGAAGCCAAAGCCAGUUGUGCAUUCAGAAGGAAACCUGUGGUGGAACUGGACCAGGAGCAUGUUGUGGUCCAAUAGAGGACUUUUAUAUAUAUAUAUAUAUAUAUAUAUAUAUAUAUACAGGUAAAUUAAACAUUGCCUAAAUAUUGAAGAGAUAAAAAUGGUAAAAUUCUUUUUGCAAUGAAAACAUUGAUUAAGCAAAUGAGUUGAAGUGGAACUCAAGUGUUUGUUUCUUUUUUUUUUUUUUUAGAAAUAACUGUAGGAGAAUUUGACAAAGGCCCCCAAAACGUACAGGAAGCAGAUGCUGUGCUUGCAGGUGUCACUUAAAGAGCACAAACAAAUUCUGGGGCAAGGGGGGAAAAAAAAACCAAAGAAGAAACGUUCCUGUUUGAUCUUGGCUCCUCCCAGGACAGGCUGACAGUUUGCUGAUGCCUACUAAUUAUUGACUCUUUUUUUUCUUGCAAAUUCAGCUUAACACUGUGUUUUUCCACUUCCAGCUCUUAAAAAUUACAUUUUUAAUGCAGUUAAAACUCCCAACCACACUACUUAUAUUGUGAGUUGUCACAGUCGAUGCAGGAGCUACAGAAACUUUCAUAAUCAAGAUUUAUUUGGCUUUUGUUUGAAGAUCACAAACACUAUGAACAAUUUUACAAUUGUUUUUAUUCACAUAGUUUUUUUAAAUCUAAAAACUAAUUUUUUUUUCCCCUAGGACUAUUUCAAAUAUUUUUUUUCACUUGAUCUUUGUAGACAAGCUGUCCUUUAAAACUAGAGGUGAAGUUCCAGUAUCUCAAAUAUUGACUUAACGAUUUCCAUCUGCCGAGCAGAAACUUUUCCUUAGCCGCUAUUUAAAGAUAUAAAAUAAAAACUUUCCCAUCUUUCUCAGCACAGCUACAAAGUUGUUGGGGGAAAAAAAAACC